UUUUUACUGCAGAAAAGUUUAGGGGAAGGAUUGACCCUAUUAAAGACAAGAUUCCAGAACAUGUACUAAAAGUCGUAGAAGAAGAGCUUAAAAGCUGCAGCUGUUUGAAACCAGUUCCAGCGAAUACGAUGUGACCUAUACCUUGAUUGGUUGACCGUGUUGCCUUGGGGAAAUUUCAGUGAUGAGAAUUUUGAUGUCCUACGGGCAGAAAAGAUGCUUGACGAGGAUCAUUACAGAUUAUCUGAAGUAAAAGAAAGAAUACUAGAGUUUAUUGCUGUGGGAAGACUUAGAGGCACUUCAAAAGGGAAGAUCAUACGUCUUUCUGGCCCACCUGGAGUAGGUAAAACUAGCAUUGGGCGUUCAAUUGCACGUGCUCUUGACUGCAAGUUCUUCCUGUUCUCUGUUGGAGGACUAUUUGAUGUUGCUGAAAUUAAGGGGCACCGUCGAACAUGUAUUGGUGCCAUGCCUGGAAAGAUGGUGCAAUGUCUAAAGAAUGUGGGAACAGAAAAUCCUCUUGUUCUGAUCGAUGAGAUUGAUAAGCUUGGAGUUAGGUGCCACGAUGGUGACCCAGCCAGUGCAAUGUUGGAGCUUUUGGAUCCAGAGCAGAAUGCAAAUUUUCUAGACCACUAUCUCGACAUUACUAUUGGCUUAUCCAAGGUUUUAUUUGUAUGCACAGCAAACGUGGCAGAUACCAUUCCGAGUCCCCUGCUAAAUAGAAUGGAGGUGAUUAAUCUCUCAGGAUACAUUACUAAGGAGAAAAUGUAUAUUGCGAGAGACUAUUUGGAGAAAACCGCAGGCAGAGAUUGUGGCAUUAAGCCUGAACAGGUUAAUGUGAGCGAUGCAGCUCUUCUUUCCUUGAUAGAAAAUUACUGCAGAGAAUCAGGAGUUAGAAAUCUCCAGAAGCAGAUUGAGAAGAUUUUUCGUAAGGUCCAAAGCGUGUUCUUCAAGUCAAGCUCUCUUUGAAUUUCACCCAACUCUUUAGAUUUCAUGUCAAGCUGUUCACCUGAGAUCGUUAUCAGAUUGUUUAAUGCUUGGACUCUCUUUUCUUUGACAUCAAUGUCAAAUUUGAAGUCCUUGCUUGAUUCUAGAACACAUUCCAACUCCAUCUCUUUAGCGACAAGCUCUUCAGAUAGUCCCUGGAUUAACUGCCAGAUAGAAUCUCGCUGAGUACGCAAGACAACAAGCUCAUUGGUCAGAGCUGGAAAGCUUGAUGGAUUUUCUCACAUAUCCCAACUUCUUAUUCGCAGAAAGUAACUUAAAUGACCGAAUCUUAAGCAGUUUCCGUCGCGACUCUAGUUGCCUAUCUAUCGUCGCAAGCUGUUUGCCCGAUUCUUCAAUCCUGUUAAGAAUCAGUGCCAAAUCUCUCUUCUUUCUAUGCAUGACACCAAGCUCAUUGCUUUAGGUCAGAACUGGAAAGCUUGAUAGAUUCUCUCACGCAUCCCAACUCAGUCUCUUUAGAAACUAGUUCCAGUGACUGUAUCUCAAGCAGUCUCUGCUGAGACGCCAGUUGCUCAUUCACAGUUGCAAGCUGCUUGCCAGAUUCUCCAAUUUUGGAAAAAACAAGUUCCAAAUCUCUCUUCUUUAUAUCUGUCUCCUCUUCCAUUUCUCUCUUAAGCUGAGUAAGUUUAUUUUCCCCUGACUCUAUCUGAUUCUUAAGCAGAUCUAGUUCCUUUUCUUUACCUUCAACCUCCUGCCUAACCCUUUCAGAUCUUACAUUUAAAUUACUUGCUUCUGUCUCUGCUGCUUUAAUCUCUUUAGCCCUUUCUUCCAUCUCAGAGGAGCUUCUGCAAAUAGUCUCCAAAAUCUCCUUGCUUGUCUGCUCCUUAGCAACAAGCUCUUCAGAAAGUAUUUGGAUAAACUGCUUAAUAGUAUCACGCUGAUUCUGCAAGACACCAAGCUCAUUGAUCUGUUGGUCAAUCAGCUUCUGCUCAAGGUCAGAAUUGGAAAACUUAAUGGAUUCUCUCAUACUUGCCAACAUCUUCUCUGUAGAAACUAGCUCCAAUGACCGAAUCUCAAGCAGUUUCUGCCGCGCCUCUAGUUGCUCAUCUACCUUUGCAAGCUGUUUCUGACGCGCCUCUACUUGCUCAUCUACCGUCGCAAGCUGUUUUCCAGAUUCUUCAAUCUGCUCAACAAUCAAUGAUAACUCUUUCUUGUUUCUAGCUGUUUCAUCUUCCACUUCUCUCUUACGCUCUUGAACAUUACGAGCCUCACUGCAACGCCUCUUAAUCUCAGCCAUAACCUGUCCCAAUUGGUUA